CCUACAGUCAGUAUGGAUCCUUCAUCCCCUUCUGCAAGAUCAACGAGAUCUGCUAUAGGUCAUAGGUGAGCAAUAUUUUUUCUUGGUUUCUUCACGUUACUAAAAAGAGUGCACAGAGGGUACAGUUUUAUGACUUCUGUAUCUUACAGCCCUCGUGACCGGUCCUGUCCCAGAUCCCCAUCGAGGAGAAGGGAGAAGCCGGCAGCCUGCCCUGGAUGUGGAGCAAGGCCUUUGGAUAACUGCAGGCUCUGCAGAAAAUGCUUAAACAUGGCCGCAGGAGAAUCUG